GAUGAAGAACGUAGUGAAAUGCGAUAAGUAAUGUGAAUUGCAGAAUUCAGUGAAUCAUCGAAUCUUUGAACGCACAUUGCGCCCCCUGGUAUUCCGGGGGGCAUGCCUGUUCGAGCGUCAUUUCACCACUCAAGCCUCGCUUGGUAUUGGGCAACGCGGUCCGCCGCGUGCCUCAAAUCGUCCGGCUGGGUCUUCUGUCCCCUAAGCGUUGUGGAAACUAUUCGCUAAAGGGUGUUCGGGAGGCUACGCCGUAAAACAACCCCAUUUCUAAGGUUGACCUCGGAUCAGGUAGGGAUACCCGCUGAACUUAAGCAUAUCAAUAAGCGGAGGA
rnacentral:misc_RNA from 1 species